UGCAUCCAUGUCAAAUUCAUUGCCUACCCUACCAACAGCAAGUAUUCACCUAAAAGGCUGCCAUAGAAACACUGUGAUUCAUGGGACCUGUACCCCUUGCCUGGGCUCAGGGAUAAAUUUGGUCACAGUCAUCA
ensembl:snoRNA